rnacentral:lncRNA from 1 species
UCAACUUCUCUGAAUGUGUCUCAAACAUUAUAUAAUCUGUCUUUAGGCGCGCUGCUCUGCUCCAAGGUUGUAACCGGUAUGGUCGUCUUGAUCUCGGAUUCAAGACGGCACGAAUAGUUAAUGGAGCUUCAUAUAAUUGUUCUAGGAUAUGUGCAAAAUGUUGGCACAAUUAGAGAUUAUGAGCCUGUUCAGUUUUCCUUUCGAUGCCUUCUGUAAAUUGUUCAUUGUGUAAACCUAAUCAGAUCUGAACAACUUUAAUUCUGAUGAGGUACAUGCGCACAAACACCAGACGCGCAUGCACACAUCAAGGUAGAGCACGCACGCACACAACAGCUCAUCACACAAAGAACUCACCUUGGCUGUUCAAAUUGACGCGCGCUGCCCACCGAAAUCACGCGCUACUGGGCUAUACGUAUGAAUCGAGGACCGGUGGGUGCAGUCCAACGGCUAG